rnacentral:lncRNA from 1 species
UAAGAAUGCUUUUUGAAAUCAUGUUUGAAAGUCUUGAGUCAAUGGUCUAUCUAGAAAGAUGAACUGUGAUUCUGUGAAGAAUUUGGAGUUAUUUUGUUUCAAAGAAACAUCUUGGCCAGCUUUGGUCUCUUUCAUCCCUCUAACUAGUCCCUUUGCUCCUCAUCUUUUCCUUCUUUGGUUCCUUUCUUUAGGUUUUUUAAAUUAUCAUAUUGUUAGAAGACUUAAAUCGAAUUAGGGAAUUUAUUUUAGUAUAAGGAGUCCAGAUCCAAUGGGAAUUGGCUACCUCAUGCUUCCUAUUUUUCUCGUCCUCGGUGGCUUUGGAAAUUGUGACUAUCUUUUCUAUAUUGAUUUUCCUUAUUCUUGUAGGACAAUUAUCCAUGGAGUCAAUGUAUUUAUAGUGCCUAAAGAACAUAUAUUCAAUUGAUCGAUUUAAUAAAAUUGACCUAAACUCUAAAUGUUUUUGAAGGUUUCAAACUGUCUAAAGUAAAUAUCCCAUCUUUUACCUCUUUCUCAUUUUCUGUUUCAUCUGUUUCUGCUCAAAAUACAAUUGAUAAGGGCUUUGGGUGUGGUCAUCUUGACAUCAAGUGUCCUUAGUGCAUAACCGUCACAUGCAAUCAAAAUGAAAAGUUUAAAUCAUAGACCUUCAAUUUGUAUGC